rnacentral:rRNA from 1 species
UACAGAGGUGCCGAGCGUUAGGCGGAAUCACUGGGCUUAAAGCGUGUGUAGGCGGACUUCUAAGUACCUUGUGAAAUCCCACGGCUCACCCGUGGAACUGCUGGGUAUACUGGUCGUCUUGAGCCACCUAGGGGCGAGCGGAACAAAUGGUGGAGCGGUGAAAUGCGUAGAUAUCAUUUGGAACGCCAACGGUGAAAACAGCUCGCUGGGGGUGUGGCUGACGCUGAGACACGAAAGCCAGGGUAGCGAACGGG